CUGUCUCCUGGAGUUCCUCUGAACGCUUCAUGUGAGGGGCUAGCUAUUAUAAACGUUAUAAGCCUUCUUUCAAUGAAGUGUUUGGGAGAACUCUUGGGCUCAA
rfam:Glycine soja cultivar W05 scaffold198_40, whole genome shotgun sequence.